CUACUAGCUCCAAAAUCCAUGGCAGUUGAGCCCAUACAGCAAUCUGCUUUCAAUUUUCUCACGAGCAUUCCUGGUUUUGCUUUUCAGCCUUUGGGAAUGUUAGGGACCAGCUUUCCUUUUCCUCUCUAAAACGAAUGUCAGCAGUCAAGAUCCAUAAACUCACUUGAAAAGUAAAAACAAGUGCUGACUUAGCCACAGGGAGUUGAAACUAGGUUGCUCCCAUAACAGGUUUGCGUAGAAAUAACUGCUAUGAUAGCUGGGAGGAUCUUGUCUGUCUGAAGAGCCUAACCUUUUGACUAUUUUGCUCUGGGCAAAAGUGAAAUGUUGCAUUCUUCAAAUCCACUUGCUAUGACUUGAACAGUGGAUCACUCUUCAAGCAGAAGAAAUUUUUUGAGAUUAUCUUCAGGAGACUGACCAUUUCAGUAGCCCCUUUACACAGAUGGAUACCUGUGUUAAUGGUGAUAUUAAUUUUUCGACCUCAGGAGAAGACUAUCCUUAUUUUCUCAAUGUCUUUCUUACACCAGAACAUCUAUGACACCCAUGUGCACACUUUAAUCACAAGUUAAGAGCGUAAGUAAGAGUGUUCUUUUCUCAGGGAUUGGAUCCAAGCCUGACUCUUUUGAAGACCUAAAUAGAAUUUGACAUCCAACCUGAGUUCUGUAAAAACCUACCUUACAAACUGCAGUUAAUACCCCACACAAGCAACUGGAUAAACCAGAACAGGCUUACUAAAUUUAAAAAAAUAUAAAAAAAAUUAGAAAUAUUAAAAAUAUGCAAGAUGUCAAAAUUUUAUUUUCAGAGGCAAACAUUUUUUACUAAGAAUCGAUGAGUUCUGGAAACAUAGAUGAAACAACUUUUUGGUUAGGUUAAGCACUUUAAGGCAAUACAGAUAGGACUGUGAAUCAUUUAUAUAGUGCAAAUAUUUUUUUCAGGCUAAUCCCAGUUUUUUAUUUUUUCUUUAAGAACUCAUCAGUUAUUCCACUGAAUUAUGCCAAAGUCCUCCUUAAUCCAGCAUUUCCUUAACUUUUCCUUAACCCACCUUGUCUCAUUCAGAUCAGUGGUGUUGCCUAAAGAGAGGCUGCAGAGAAAAAGAGGCCAAGAUAAGAUAAAGAGAGUAGGCCCUUUAAUCAGCCUACAGGCCCAGGGAAUACACAUAAUGUGUACGUGUCCAUACACUGGUUCUAUGAUUUUAUAAUAAGG